CUUUGAGAAUGUCCACAUUAACAUCUGUUCCCUAUUAUAUCAAGACCUUGCUAAAGGCAUCCAUUAUCUAUGAAUAGUAAUAACUCUAUUAAUGAAGAGGAUGCAUUCCAGCAGCACAAUCUUUUGUCAGAACUGUCAUUCCCGAGAUUCAUGAAACUUUAAAACUGGAAGAGAUCUUGGCAAUCUUCUAUCAGGAGUUAACAAGCUCAUAUGGGGGAAAAGCAUCAUUUCUGAGACACUACGGCAUCUACUUUCUUGCUGUUAUUCAGAAGAUUGAUAUGAUCUAUAACUUCAAAUUCCCUCACCUUGGUAAUUUCAGCAGUGCAUCUGAGCCAUUCAUGUGUGACAGAAUACUACAGAGGUCAGGGGAACAGGUUGUGCUCGUUGCUGGGGCGAUUCUGAAGCUGUUGUGAUCUCACCAACCGGUUAUGAAUAACAAUGGCAAAAUGGAGCCCAGUGUGACUACAGUGAGGAUGUCUGUGCAGAGAGUUCCCCUUCUCCCCAGACAUGCAACUGAACCAAAGAAUGCAAGUGGAGCCUUGUUGAUUUUAUGUUAAUGCAUAUGUCAUUAUGCUGUGAGCAUGUUUACAUGGCAUAAUUCUGCUCUUAUGCAUUUAAUCAGUUAGAAUUGUGGCUCCAUUUAAAUACCUAGGUGUCCCCCAUCUAUUCAGUUUUAUUGGAACCAAAAUAAAAUUUCAACAAGAAUGC
rnacentral:lncRNA from 1 species